AUUGAACGCUGGCGGACUGCUUUACACAUGCAAGUCGAACGGUAGAGGGGGCAGCCCCUCGAGAGUGGCGAACGGGUGAGUAAUAUAUCGGAACGUGCCCAGUCGAGGGGGAUAACGCAGCGAACGUUAAGCUAAUAAUGCAUACGAACUAAGGAUGAAAGCGGGGGAUAGCAAGACCUCGCGCGAUUGGAGCGGCAGAUAUCAGAUUAGGUAGUUGGUGGGGUAAAGGAUCACCAAGCCAACGAUCUGUAGCCGAGCUGAGAGUACGACCAGACACACUGGAACUGAGACACGGUCCAGACUCCGACGGGAGGCACCAGUGGGGAAGUUGGGACAAUGGACGCAAGUCUGAUCCAGCCAUUCCGCGUGCAGGAUGAAGGCCCUCGGGUUGUAAACUGCUUUUGUACGGAACGAAAAGGUCUCUCUUAAUACGGGGGACUCAUGACGGUACCGUAAGAAUAAGCACCGGCUAACUACGUGCCAGCAGCCGCCGUAA
rnacentral:rRNA from 1 species